rnacentral:rRNA from 1 species
GUCGUUGUGGAAAUGUUGGGUUAAGUCCCGCAACGAGCGCAACCCUCGUCCUUAGUUGCCAGCAUUAAGUUGGGCACUCUAAGGAGACUGCCGGUGUUAAACCGGAGGAAGGCGGGGAUGACGUCAAGUCCUCAUGGCCCUUAUGUCCAGGGCUACACACGUGCUACAAUGGCCGGUACAAAGGGUAGCAAGACCGCGAGGUGGAGCCAACCCCAAAAGCCGGUCUCAGUUCGGAUUGGAGUCUGCAACUCGACUCCAUGAAGUUGGAAUCGCUAGUAAUCGUGGAUCAGCAUGCCACGGUGAAUACGUUCCCGGGCCUU